UACGAAGGGGGCGAGCGUUAUUCGGAAUCACUGGGCGUAAAGCGUGCGUAGGCUGUUUGACAAGUUGGGAGUGAAAGCCCAGGGCUCAACCCUGGAAUUGCUCUCAAAACUGUCAGACUCGAGUCCGGGAGAGGAUAGCGGAAUUUCCAGUGUAGUAGUGAAAUACGUAGAUAUUGGAAGGAACACCAGUGGCGCAAGCGGCUAUCUGGACCGGUACUGACGCUGAGGCACGAAAGCGUGGGGAUCAAACAGG
rnacentral:rRNA from 1 species